rnacentral:rRNA from 1 species
GUACGGGAGGCAGCAGGGGGAAUAUUGCACAAUGGGCGCAAGCCUGAUGCAGCCAUGCCGCGUGUAUGAAAAGGCCUUCGGGUUGUAAAGUACUUUCAGUCGUGAGGAAGGUGUUAAGGUUAAUAACCUUAGCAAUUGACGUUAGCGACAGAAGAAGCACCGGCUAACUCCGUGCCAGCAGCCGCGGUAAUACGGAGGGUGCGAGCGUUAAUCGGAAUUACUGGGCGUAAAGGGCACGCAGGCGGUUAAUUAAGUUGGAUGUGAAAUCCCCGGGCUUAACCUGGGAAUGGCAUUCAAGACUGGUUAGCUAGAGUCUUGUAGAGGGGGUAGAAUUCCAUGUGUAGCGGUGAAAUGCGUAGAGAUGUGGAGGAAUACCGGUGGCGAAGGCGGCCCCUGGACAAAGACUGACGCUCAUGUGCGAAAGCGUGGGGAGCAAAACAGGGAUUAGAUACC